GAUGAACGCUGGCGGCGUGCCUAAUACAUGCAAGUCGAGCGAACGGACGAGAAGCUUGCUUCUCUGAUGUUAGCGGCGGACGGGUGAGUAACACGUGUAUAACCUACCUAUAAGACUGGGAUAACUUCGGGAAACCGGCGCUAAUACCGUAUAAUAUUUUGAACCGCAUGGUUCAAAAGUGAAAGACGGUCUUGCUGUCACUUAUAGAUGGAUCCGGGCUGCAUUAGCUAGUUGGUAAGGUAACGGCUUACCAAGGCAACGAUGCAUAGCCGACCUGAGAGGGUGAUCGGCCACACUGGAACUGAGACACGGUCCAGACUCCUACGGGAGGCAGCAGUAGGGAAUCGUCCGCAAUGGGCGAAAGCCUGACGGAGCAACGCCGCGUGAGUGAUGAAGGUCUUCGGAUCGUAAAACUCUGUUAUUAGGGAAGAACAUAUGUGUAAGUAACUGUGCACAUCUUGACGGUACCUAAUCAGAAAGCCACGGCUAACUACGUG
rnacentral:rRNA from 1 species